GUGCUUGUUUCAGCAGCACAUAUACUAAAAUUGGAAUGAUACAGAGAAGAUUAGCAUGGCCCCUGUGCAAGGACAACACGCAAAUUUGUGAACCGUUCCAUAUUUUU